rnacentral:rRNA from 1 species
CUUAGAGUUUGAUCCUGGCUCAGAACGAACGCUGGCGGCAGGCCUAACACAUGCAAGUCGAACGCACCUUCGGGUGAGUGGCAGACGGGUGAGUAACGCGUGGGAACGUGCCUUUCGGUGGGGGAUAACUUCGGGAAACCGGAGCUAAUACCGCAUACGCCCUUCGGGGGAAAGAUUUAUUGCCGAAAGAUCGGCCCGCGUCUGAUUAGCUAGUUGGUGAGGUAACGGCUCACCAAGGCGACGAUCAGUAGCUGGUUUGAGAGGAUGAUCAGCCACACUGGGACUGAGACACGGCCCAGACUCCUAUGGGAGGCAGCAGUGGGGAAUAUUGGACAAUGGGCGAAAGCCUGAUCCAGCCAUGCCGCGUGAGUGACGAAGGCCUUAGGGUUGUAAAACUCUUUCGCCGGUGAAGAUAAUGACGGUAACCGGUAAAGAAGCCCCGGCUAACUCCGUGCCAGCAGCCGCGGUAAUACGGAGGGGGCUAGCGUUGUUCGGAAUCACUGGGCGUAAAGCGCGCGUAGGCGGACUGGUCAGUUAGGGGUGAAAGCCCAGAGCUCAACUCUGGAACUGCCUCUAAAACUGCCAGUCUCGAGUCCGGGAGAGGUGAGUGGAAUUCCUAGUGUAGAGGUGAAAUUCGUAGAUAUUAGGAAGAACACCAGUGGCGAAGGCGGCUCACUGGCCCGGUACUGACGCUGAGGUGCGAAA